UUGGAGGGCAAGUCUGGUGCCAGCAGCCGCGGUAAUUCCAGCUCCAAUAGCGUAUAUUAAAGUUGUUGCAGUUAAAAAGCUCGUAGUUGAAUUUUAGGCCUGGCCGGGCGGUCCGUCUUUGGCGAGUACUGUUCUGUGUCGGGUCUUACCUUCUGGUAAACCGGCAUGUUCUUUUAUUGUGUGUGCCGUGGGAACCAGACCAUUACCUCGAAAAAAUUAGAGUGUUUAAAGCGGGCUUUUGCUUGAAUAGAUUAGCAUGGAAUAAUAAAAUAGGACGUUGGUUCUAUUUUGUUGGUCUAGGACCACCGUAAUGAUUAAUAGGGAUAGUUGGGGGCAUUAGUAUUCAAUUGUCAGAGGUGAAAUUCUUGGAUUUAUUGAAGACUAACUAUUGCGAAAGCAUUUGCCAAGGAUGUUUUCAUCAAUCAAGAACGAAAGUUAGGGGAUCGAAGACGAUCAGAUACCGUCGUAGUCUUAACCAUAAACUAUGCCGACUAGGAAUCGGGCGUCGUUAUUUUCACGUCUCGCUCGGCGCCUUAUGGGAAACCAAAGUGUUUGGGUUC
rnacentral:rRNA from 1 species